GAUGAACGCUGGCGGCGUGCCUAAUACAUGCAAGUCGAGCGAACGGACGAGAAGCUUGCUUCUCUGAUGUUAGCGGCGGACGGGUGAGUAACACGUGGAUAACCUACCUAUAAGACUGGGAUAACUUCGGGAAACCGGAGCUAAUACCGGAUAAUAUUUUGAACCGCAUGGUUCAAAAGUGAAAGACGGUCUUGCUGUCACUUAUAGAUGGAUCCGCGCUGCAUUAGCUAGUUGGUAAGGUAACGGCUUACCAAGGCUACGAUGCAUAGCCGACCUGAGAGGGUGAUCGGCCGCACUGGAAGUGAGACACGGUCCAGAGUCCUACGGGAGGCAGCAGUAGGGAAUCUUCCGCAAUGGGCGAAAGCCUGACGGAGCAACGCCGCGUAAGUGAUGAAGAUCUUCGGAGCGUAAAACUCUGUUAUUAGGGAAGAACAUAUGUGUAAGUAACUGUGCACAUCUUGACGGUACCUAGUCAGAAAGCCACGGCUAACUACGUG
rnacentral:rRNA from 1 species